UACGUAGGGGGCAAGCGUUGUCCGGAAUUAUUGGGCGUAAAGCGCGCGCAGGCGGUCAAUUAAGUUGGGUGUUUAAGCCCGGGGCUCAACCCCCGGUUCGCAUCCAAAACUGGUUGACUUGAGUGUAGGAGAGGAAAGUGGAAUUCCACGUGUAGCGGUGGAAUGCGCAGAGUAUCAGGAGGAACACCGAUGGCGAAGGCAGCUCGCUGGGACGGUACUGACGCUGAGGCACGAAAGCGUGGGGAUCAAACAGG
rnacentral:rRNA from 1 species